rnacentral:rRNA from 1 species
CCUACGGGGGGCUGCAGUAGGGAAUAUUGGACAAUGGGCGCAAGCCUGAUCCAGCCAUCCCGCGUGAAGGAUUAAGGUCCUAUGGAUUGUAAACUUCUUUUCUCUGGGAAUAAAAAGCGGGGUUCACCCUGCCUUGAAGGUAUCAGAGGAAUAAGCACCGGCUAACUCCGUGCCAGCAGCCGCGGUAAUACGGAGGGUGCAAGCGUUAUCCGGAUUCACUGGGUUUAAAGGGAGCGUAGGUGGCUUUGUAAGUCAGUGGUGAAAUGUCGCGGCUUAACCGCGAAACUGCCAUUGAUACUGCUUAGCUUGAAUCACGUCGAGGUGGAUGGAAUAAUACAUGUAGCGGUGAAAUGCUUAGAUAUGUAUUAGAACACCGAUUGCGAAGGCAGUUCACUAGGCGUGUAUUGACACUGAGGCUCGAAAGCGUGGGGAUCAAACAGGAUUAGAUACCCGUAGUCCU